rnacentral:rRNA from 1 species
AUUGAACGCUGGCGGCAGGCCUAACAAAUGAAAGUCGAACGAGUGGCGGACGGGUGAGUAAUGUCUGGGAAACUGCCCGAUGGAGGGGGAUAACUACUGGAAACGGUAGCUAAUACCCCGUACCAUCGGAUGGGCCCAGAGGGGAGUAGCUUGUCGGUGAGGUAACGGCUCACCUAGGCGACGAUCCCUAGCUGGUCUGAGAGGAUGACCAGCCACACGGGGACUGAGACACGGUCCAGACUCCUACGGGAGGCAGCAGUGGGGAAUAGUGCACAAUGGGUGCAAGCCUGAUGCAGCCAUGCCGCGGGUAUGAAGAAGGCCUUCGGGUUGUAAAGUACUUUCAGCGGGGAGGCGUUACCCGCAGAAGAAGCACCGGCUAACUCCGUGCCAGUAGCCGCGGUAAUAC